CACGUAGGGCGCAAGCGUUGUCCGGAAUUAUUGGGCGUAAAGAGCUCGUAGGCGGUCUGUUGCGUCCGCUGUGAAAACUCGGGGCUUAACCCCGAGCCUGCAGUGGAUACGGGCAGACUAGAGGUAGGUAGGGGAGAAUGGAAUUCCCGGUGUAGCGGUGAAAUGCGCAGAUAUCGGGAGGAACACCGAUGGCGAAGGCG
rnacentral:rRNA from 1 species